UUCAGCAGAAGAAGUUGAUACGGGUCUGUACGGUAGAGAGCCAGCUUACAUUUUCACAGUGGCACAAUGGAUCAGCCCUGCUUUGUGAUAAGUAUCCUUGAAGUUUUAAGAACGUCCAUCUGAUCUGCUUUGGAAGUUUCUGUUGGCAGUGAGAGAGAUUCACACAGCAAUCUCGGGGUCUUUCCAGAUGACUGACUCUAAGGCCGAAUCCAUACAACAGAAUCUGGAGAAACUAAAAGACAGGCCACUUUGAAGGGCCCGACUACCCAAACCUGAAAGGAAAGUUUGAUUUGGAGGAUGCAGGAGAGUGUAUGAAGGAGGGAAGUGGGGUGACUACCACCUUCUCAGGGUACCCCUAAACCCUAUCUCUUUUUGCUAUGGA